UUCCCUAGUAGCGGCGAGCGAAGCGGGAAGAGCUCAAAUUUAUAAUCUGGCACCUUCGGUGUCCGAGUUGUAAUCUCUAGAAAUGUUUUCCGCGUUGGACCGCACACAAGUCUGUUGGAAUACAGCGGCAUAGUGGUGAGACCCCCGUAUAUGGUGCGGACGCCCAGCGCUUUGUGAUACAUUUUCGAAGAGUCGAGUUGUUUGGGAAUGCAGCUCAAAUUGGGUGGUAAAUUCCAUCUAAAGCUAAAUAUUGGCGAGAGACCGAUAGCGAACAAGUACCGUGAGGGAAAGAUGAAAAGCACUUUGGAAAGAGAGUUAACAGUACGUGAAAUUGUUGGAAGGGAAACGCUUGAAGUCAGACUUGCUUGCCGAGCAAUCGGUUUGCAGGCCAGCAUCAGUUUUCCGGGAUGGAUAAUGGUAGAGAGAAGGUAGCAGUUUCGGCUGUGUUAUAGCUCUCUGCUGGAUACAUCUUGGGGGACUGAGGAACGCAGUGUGCCUUUGGCGGGGGUUUCGACCUCUUCACACUUAGGAUGCUGGUGGAAUGGCUUUAAACGACCCGUCUUGAAAAUUG
rnacentral:rRNA from 1 species